AUUGAACGCUGGCGGCACGCCUUACACAUGCAAGUCGAACGGUAACAGGUCUUCGGAUGCUGACGAGUGGCGAACGGGUGAGUAAUACAUCGGAACGUGCCUAGUAGUGGGGGAUAACUACUCGAAAGAGUGGCUAAUACCGCAUGAGAUCUACGGAUGAAAGCAGGGGAUCGCAAGACCUUGUGCUAUUAGAGCGGCCGAUGGCAGAUUAGGUAGUUGGUGGGAUAAAAGCUUACCAAGCCGACGAUCUGUAGCUGGUCUGAGAGGACGAUCAGCCACACUGGGACUGAGACACGGCCCAGACUCCUACGGGAGGCAGCAGUGGGGAAUUUUGGACAAUGGGCGCAAGCCUGAUCCAGCAAUGCCGCGUGCAGGAUGAAGGCCUUCGGGUUGUAAACUGCUUUUGUACGGAACGAAAAGCCCUGGGUUAAUACCCUGGGGUCAUGACGGUACCGUAAGAAUAAGCACCGGCUAACUACGUGCCAGCAGCCGCAGUAA
rnacentral:rRNA from 1 species